rnacentral:misc_RNA from 3 species
AACGCACAUUGCACCCAUUGGUAUUCCGAUGGGUAUACUUGUUUGAGCGUCAUUUCAUUCUCCUUUUUGGGGUUUUAGCUUGAAUAAAUCUCGCUGAAUUAUAGUGGUGUGGCUACCAGACUACAACGUGAUAGAUAUUUCGUUGGAUGUGACUGGGAUUGCUCACCUUAAAACAAUUGUAUAGACCUCAAAUCAAGCAGGACUACCCGCUGAACUUAA